rnacentral:lncRNA from 1 species
UUAACACACUAUGCACACACACAUGUAAUUGUAUGAGAAACAAUGUACAUGCAGAAGAGUAUCAUUGAGUCACUAACAGAUAUUCGGUUCUAGGAAUAUAUGGGUAUUUGGUAAAAGAUCUAACUAUUACAUGCCUGAAAAUUUUGAAUGGUACUGGUACAAUGUGUAACUUGAAAUCAUUUUAUUGGAAUUGUUCCAUGUUAGCCAAAUUUGAUCAAAUAUCAAAAGGGUAUAAUUGGGAAUAUUAUGAUAGUAUAAGGAAUGCUGUCCACUUGCAGCACAAAUGGGUAUUACUAUCCAAAAUGUAAUGAUGAUUAUGAUCUUAAAGGGUACAUUAUAUUUGCAAACAACAUGUCUCUGUUAGAAUCAGACUUAUCUAGAAGUCAAUUUUGUCUAGCUGUGACUGUUCCACUUUCAUAAGGAAAGAGGUGGAUAUGAUAUCACUAAUCAUCUAUCUCUUCUACACCCCAGAAAGAAUAUAAGUUAAAGCUUUGUAAUAAUCAAUAUUGAAUGUAAUGAUAAAGAUCACAUUGGGUGAGAUGCCUGAAGUGGGUUAAAUAUCAUCAAGAUAUUAAGACUGUAAGGGACCCAAGGGGAUGAUAAUGUUGGGUCGAGGUCUUGUUUGUAUGUUCACAGAUAAUGAAAACAUCUGGUCACCCACGUCAUGCUUCAUGCCAGCUGAUACAGACCAGGAAGAGAAGCAGACGGAAGGUGAUGGCAUCAGCUACCUACAUGCCAGCCACAAUCCAGACUCGCUGGAGGGACACUUCUUUGUUUAA